rnacentral:rRNA from 1 species
UCAGGCCUAACACAUGCAAGUCGAACGGCGGCACGGGUGCUUGCACCUGGUGGCGAGUGGCGAACGGGUGAGUAAUAUAUCGGAACGUGCCCUAGAGUGGGGGAUAACGUAGCGAAAGUUACGCUAAUACCGCAUACGAUCUACGGACGAAAGUGGGGGACCGCAAGGCCUCACGCUCCUGGAGCGGCCGAUAUCUGAUUAGCUAGUUGGUGGGGUAAAAGCCUACCAAGGCGACGAUCAGUAGCUGGUCUGAGAGGACGACCAGCCACACUGGGACUGAGACACGGCCCAGACUCCUACGGGAGGCAGCAGUGGGGAAUUUUGGACGAUGGGGGCAACCCUGAUCCAGCAAGGCCGCGUGUGUGAAGAAGGCCUUCGGGUUGUAAAGCAAUGGGUCAGGAACGAAACGGUGGGGGCUAAUAUCCUCUGCAAUGAC